rnacentral:rRNA from 1 species
GACGAACGCUGGCGGCGUGCCUAAUACAUGCAAGUUGAGCGCUGAAGGUUGGUACUUGUACCGACUGGAUGAGCAGCGAACGGGUGAGUAACGCGUGGGGAAUCUGCCUUUGAGCGGGGGACAACAUUUGGAAACGAAUGCUAAUACCGCAUAAAAACUUUAAACACAAGUUUUAAGUUUGAAAGAUGCAAUUGCAUCACUCAAAGAUGAUCCCGCGUUGUAUUAGCUAGUUGGUGAGGUAAAGGCUCACCAAGGCGAUGAUACAUAGCCGACCUGAGGGGGUGGUCGGCCACAUUGGGACUGAGACACCGCCCAAACUCCUACGGGAGGCAGCAGUAGGGGAUCAUCGGCAAUGGACGAAAGUCUGACCGAGCAACGCCGCGUGAGUGAAGAAAGUUUUCGGAUCGUAAAACUCUGUUGGUAGAGAAGAACGUUGGUGAGAGUGGAAAGCUCCUCAAGUGACGGUAACUACACAGAAAGAGACGGCUAACUACGUG